AAGAAAUUAUGAACAACAAGCCUAAGAUUAUUUGAAGGAAAGAAGAAUCUCAACUUUGGAUAAUAGUUUAAGACCUUCUAAUCUAUUUUAUGAUUAUAAUAAUAAUCAUCAAAUCCAUCAUCUUCUCUCAAGUUUAAAUAGUCAAUAAGGAUUUAUUCUAUUAAAUGAUGGCCAAUUUCAAUAUAGUCAAUAAAACAAAAGACAAAAUUUUUAAGAUGUAAAAUAUUUAGAGUUAUCAAGUAAAAAAUAAGGUUCUUAAUCCAUGAUAGAUCAACCUUCAUUUUUUCAAAUACAUUAUAUUUUUCAAGAAGAAGUUUCUAAUAAAGAUAAAAGACUUUCUAAUAUGCCAACCUUGGCAGUUAUG
rnacentral:lncRNA from 1 species